AUGCGUCUCCUCCUCCCAUUGCGCAUCCGCUAGUGUUCCCCUCUGGAGGUUUUGCCAGAAAUGGCAUCCUUCAAAACUUAAGGCCGGGCAAUUGUCCGGCCUCUUU
rnacentral:sRNA from 1 species